rnacentral:misc_RNA from 1 species
AACGCAUAUUGCACCCCUUGGUAUUCCGGGGGGUACACCUGUUCGAGCGCCAUUUCUAUCCUCAAGCAAUGCUUGGUGUUGGGUGGAGGUCAUUUACUGUAGGCCCCCCCGUAACUUGUAGGCGGUCAUACCCCGUAUCCACAGCGUAGCAAGCAAAACGCACCCGCUUUGGAAUGGUGUAUUUUUGAUCUGCCCAAAAAACCUCAAGGUUUGGCCUCGAAUCAGGUGGGGAUACCUGCUGAACUUAA